rnacentral:rRNA from 1 species
AUGCCUUAUGAUGAGCGGUACACACCGUACAUCAAGCAGGCAGGACUACUCCCGUGGAUUCUGUUGGUCAGCCGGUCCACGCCGAAUCUGAACGCUCCACUGGUGUCUGCUCUUGUUGAUCGGUGGAGGUCGGAGACGCACAGUUUCCAUCUUCGGACUGGGGAGAUGACCGUGACGCUCGAGGAUGUCUCAUUGAUCACCGGUCUUGCUAUCGACAGGAGGCCUCUCUGUAUGAGCACCGAUUCUGAUGGGUGGCGCGAGCAGAUGAUUGCUCUUAUCGGUAUGGCUCCUACCGAGGCUGAGGCUGAUGUAGAGGAGGGAGAAGAGAAGAAGAAGAGGGAAAGGAAAGCAGCCAGAGCUGCUUUCACGUGGAUUCAAAAUAACUUUGCGACGUGCCCUCCAGAUGCCACUGAUGAUGUGAUCCAGACACAUGCUCAUGUGUAUAUGUGGUACGUUGUGUCGAGGACUUUGUUUCCUGACUCCACUGGCAAGAACGCUCCAUGGAUGUGGCUGAAGGCGUUGACCGUCUUCGAUAGCAAUGGAGCUGGGGUUCAGCGACUCUUGCCUACUUGUACCGACAGGUAG